rnacentral:lncRNA from 1 species
CUGGCGGGAGCACCAGGGGACCCUUACUAUAGACUGCAGAGGAGGCCUGGGACAGAUGGGCCUCAGGAAGGGCCCCAGAGCCUCAGUUUCCCACUCUGAGAUGGGGUCCACCCCUGCUUCACCAUGCCUGGCCAGAGCAGGCAUACCUCAUUUGCUUCUAGGUCCUGGCCUGCGAGGACCGUGGAGGACGGACCGUGGAGGAUGGGAGGGCCGCUGCUCCUGCUGGUACUGUUGGCAGGUGGCCGUGGCCCGUGUCUGUAAUCUCAACAACUCGGGAACUGAGGCAGGAGGAUCGCACGUUCUAGGCCAGCCUCGCAAGUAAGUUAGGCCCUAAGCAACGGGGUGAGACUCUUGUCUCAAAAUAAAAAAAUAAAAAGCACUAGGGAUGUGGCUCUGUGGUCAAGGCCCCCUGGGUUCAGUCUCUGGUAUUAAAGAAAAUCAUAACCUCAGUACCUUCACCCGAAUCUAUCAGCACCAGUUCCAAAAGAUGGUCAGGUACUUGGUCAGCAUGGGGGUCACUUCCUCGGCUUGCUCUCCAGCAAGCAUUUCUAGCAAAUUAACGCCAGACUCGGGCUCCAGAAGCCCACAUGCUUCCCCGCAUCACCCCUUGGCCCCGGGCUCCAGGCCUCCUCUUGGUCAC